rnacentral:rRNA from 1 species
AUUGAACGCUAGCGGGAUGCUUUACACAUGCAAGUCGAACGAGUGGCGGACGGGUGAGUAAUAAAUCGGAACGUGCCCCGUCGCGGGGGAUAAAUACUCGGAAACAGGGCUUAUACCGCAAACUAUGUGAGGGGCCGAGAUGGGACUAGCUAGUGGGGGGGGUAAAGGCUCACCAAGGCAACGAACCGUAGCGGGUUUGAGAGGACGAUCAGACACACUGGGACUGAGACACGGCCCAGACUCCUACGGGAGGGAGCAGUGGGGAAUUUUGGUCAAUGGAGGAAACCCUGAUCCAGCCAUCCCGCGUGUAUGAGAAGGCCUUCGGGUUGUAAAGUACUUUUGGCAGAGAAGCGGUAUCUGCAGAAUAAGCACCGGCUAACUACGUGCCAGCAGCCGCGGUAAUAC